rnacentral:rRNA from 1 species
AGAGUUUGAUUCUGGCUCAGGACGAACGCUGGCGGCGUGCUUAACACAUGCAAGUCGAACGAAGGGUAGAAAUACCCUUAGUGGCGGACGGGUGAGUAACGCGUGAGCAAUCUGCCCUUGUCAGGGGAAUAACACAUAGAAAUGUGUGCUAAUACCGCAUGACGUUACGAAGUGGCAUCACUUUGUAACCAAAGAAUUAUCGGACAAGGAUGAGCUCGCGUCCCAUUAGGUAGUUGGUGAGGUAACGGCCCACCAAGCCGACGAUGGGUAGCCGACCUGAGAGGGUGAUCGGCCACAUUGGAACUGAGAGACGGUCCAGACUCCUACGGGAGGCAGCAGUGGGGAAUAUUGGGCAAUGGAGGGAACUCUGACCCAGCAACGCCGCGUGAAUGAUGAAGGUCUUCGGAUUGUAAAGUUCUGUGACGGGGGACGAAGAAAGUGACGGUACCCCGAAAGCAAGCUACGGCUAACUACGUGCCAGCAGCCGCGGUAAUACGUAGGUAGCAAGCGUUGUCCGGAAUGACUGGGCGUAAAGGGUGCGUAGGUGGCUAGGCAAGUUGGUAGUGAAAUUCCGGGGCUUAACUCCGGCGCUACUACCAAGACUGUUUAGCUUGAGUACAGGAGAGGUAAGUGGAAUUCCUAGUGUAGCGGUGGAAUGCGUAGAUAUUAGGAGGAACACCGGUGGCGAAAGCGACUUACUGGCCUGCAACUGACACUGAGGCACGAAAGCGUGGGGAGCAAACAGGAUUAGAUACCCUGGUAGUCCACGCCGUAAACGAUGAUUACUAGGUAUGGGAGGUAUCGACUCCUUCCGUGCCGCAGCCAACGCAAUAAGUAAUCCGCCUGGGGAGUACGGCCGCAAGGUUGAAACUCAAAGGAAUUGACGGGGACCCGCACAAGCAGCGGAGCAUGUGGUUUAAUUCGACGCAACGCGAAAAACCUUACCAGGUCUUGACAUCCUUUGACCGCCUGAGAGAUCAGGAAUCUCUAGCAAUAGAGCAGAGAGACAGGUGGUGCAUGGUUGUCGUCAGCUCGUGUCGUGAGAUGUUCGGUUAAGUCCGACAACGAGCGCAACCCUUGUAUACAGUUGCCAAUAUUAAGUUAGGAACUCUGUAUAAACUGCCGUGGCUAACACGGAGGAAGGUGGGGAUGACGUCAAAUCAUCACGCCCCUUACGACCUGGGCCACACACGUGCUACAAUGGCUAUUACAAAGAGAAGCGAAGCCGCGAGGCGGAGCGAAUCUCAAAAAGAUAGUCUCAGUUCAGAUUGUGGGCUGAAACCCGCCCACAUGAAGUCGGAGUUGCUAGUAAUCCCGGAUCAGCAUGCCGGGGUGAAUGCGUUCCCGGGUCUUGUACACACCGCCCGUCACGCCAUGGGAGUUCGGAGUACCCAAAGUCAACGGCCUAACCGCAAGGAGGGAGUUGCCUAAGGUAAUACGAAUGACUGGGGUGAAGUCGUAACAAGGUAGCCGUAUCGGAAGGUGCGGCUG